rnacentral:rRNA from 1 species
UACUCUUAGCGGUGGAUCACUUAGCUCAUGGGCCGAUGAAGGACGCAGCUAGCUGCAAUAAAUAAUGUGAACUGCAGACACACUGGGCACUAAAAUUUCGAACGCACAUUGUGCCAUCGGGUUCAUCACCAGUGUCG